rnacentral:rRNA from 1 species
GAUGAACGCUGGCGGCGUGCCUAAUACAUGCAAGUCGAGCGAACAAACGAGGAACUUGCUCCUCUGACGUUAGCGGCGGACGGGUGAGUAACACGUGGAUAACCUACCUAUAAGACUGGGAUAACUUCGGGAAACCGGAGCUAAUACCGGAUAAUAUAUUGAACCGCAUGGUUCAAUAGUGAAAGACGGUUUUGCUGUCACUUAUAGAUGGAUCCGCGCCGCAUUAGCUAGUUGGUAAGGUAACGGCUUACCAAGGCAACGAUGCGUAGCCGACCUGAGAGGGUGAUCGGCCACACUGGAACUGAGACACGGUCCAGACUCCUACGGGAGGCAGCAGUAGGGAAUCUUCCGCAAUGGGCGAAAGCCUGACGGAGCAACGCCGCGUGAGUGAUGAAGGUCUUCGGAUCGUAAAACUCUGUUAUUAGGGAAGAACAAAUGUGUAAGUAACUAUGCACGUCUUGACGGUACCUAAUCAGAAAGCCACGGCUAACUACGUG